AGGGUUUUUAUGGUUUUAGGUCUAACAUUUAAGUCUUUAAUCCAUCUAGAAUUAAUUUUUGCAUAAGGUGUAAGGAAGGGAUCCAUGUCAGCUUUCUACAUAUGGCUACACGGCUGGCUAAUUUUGUAUUUUUAGUAGAGACGGUGUUUCUCCAUAUUGGUCAGGCUGGUCUUGAACUCCUGACCUCAGGCGAUCUGCCUGCCUCGGCCUCCCAAAGUCCUGGAUUACAAUUGUGAGCCACCGCAUCUGGCUGCCACCAUUCUAAAUAAUGUCUACUUUGCUUUAUCUUGAUUUAUCAGUUUUUGACUUUAUUCAUUGAUUUCCAAAUGAGUGAUGAAUUUUCUUUUUACCACCACUCCCACCUUCCCCCUUCUCCUAAUAUAUUUUGUCACUAUUUUUAUUAAAUGUUUACAGCGUGCACACUAUUGUGAUUAUGUAAUUAUUAUUCAUAGCUGAGACACAUAGUAUAUGAUGAUUACACUUUCAUUCUUUUAUAACUUUUCGUUUUUCCUGUAACUUUUUUUAAAAAUAGAGAUGGGGGCCGGGGGUGGGUCGGGGGGAUCUUAUUGUGUUGCCCAGGCUGGUCUCAAACUCCUGGCCUCAACCAAUCCUCCCACCUCAGCCUCCCAAAGUGCUGGAAUUACAGGUGUGAGCCACCACACCAAGCCUGUUUAACCUGCCUCAUUUUCUUCAUUUCUUUACUUUUUAAAUACAUACCUAUUGCUAUUUUUAUUAAAAAAUGCAUCUGCGGAUGUCUUUUUUUUUUUUUUUUUUUUUUGGUGAGUUGGAGUCUCGCUCUGUCACCCAGGCUAGAGUGUAGUGAUCAUGGCUCACUGCAGCCUUGACCUCCUGGACUCAAGCAAUCCUCCCAGCUCAGCCUCCCAAGUAGCUGGGAUUACAGGUGCACACCAUCAUGCCCAGCUAAUUUUAUUAUUUUUUGUAGAAAUGAGGUCUCACUGUGAUCAGCUCAGACUGGUCUCGAACUCCUAGACUCAAGUGAUCCUCGCACCUCAGCCUCUCAAAGUGCAAGGAUUACAGGCUUGAGCCAUCACACAGGCCCUAAAGAAAAUCUUUAUUUUAUCCUGACACUUGAUUAGUGUGUUUGGCCAAGUUGAGAAUGAGGGAAAUAGGAAUCUGAUGGGAAGUUCUCUAUUUAUAUAUGAAGGACUUAUUAAUUGCUUGGUUUUUCCUGCAAAAUGAUCAAGGGGAAACUUGCCUUUUCCUUUGAUGACUCCCAAAAUGAGAGUGUGUGGGAUCAUUUAUCUGAGACAACUCAGUUUUUCUAGAGAAGAACCUACAAUCUCCUGUCUGGGCACAAACUUUCUGGGAGUAGGAGAAAUGAAGGGGACUGGAAGUCUUUGUGUUUUUUUGUUUGUUUGUUUGUUUAUUGAGACAGAGUCUGGCUCUGUUGCCCAGGCUGGAGUGCAGUGACACAAUCCUUUUUUAUUUUUUAUUUUUUUUUGAGACGGAGUCUCGCUUUGUCACCCAGGCUGGAGUACAGUGGCGCCAGUGGCGCAAUCUUGACUCACUGCAACCUCUCCCUCCCGGGCUUAAGUGAUCCUCCCACCUCAACCUCCCAAGUACCUGGGACUACAGGUGCGCCGCCAUGCCCAGGUAAUUUUUAAAUUUUUUUUAGAGACAAGGUCUCACCAUGUUGCCCAGGCUGGUCUUGAACUCCUGGGCUCAAGCGAUCCUCCCGCCUCAGCCUCCCUAAGUGCUGGGAUUACAGGUGUGAGCCACUGCACCCAGCCUUAUUAUGCAGACUUUCAAUAAAAGUUCUUAGUUCUGAGUCUUAUCUCAAUUCCCUGCCAUGCCUGGGGUACCUAAAUCUGGAGCUUCUUAGGUUCAAUUUUUCCAGACUUCAAAUUUAACUACACAGGUGAGGGUUCUAGGGAACCAAGUGAUAGACAGUGAUCUGUUCUCUUUUUACCAGAUAGAUCACCCUAUUUUAUCCCUUAAUGACAAAAGGACUUUCUAUAAUGUCUCAAACAUAGGGUUGCCAGAUUUAAUAAGUAAAAAUACAAAAUGUCUGGUUAAAUUUGAAUUUCAGAUUUUCAGAUGAACAAUGCAAUAUGUCGGAUAUACUUAUACUAAAAGUAAUUUGUUUCUUUGAAAUUCAUAUUUGACCAAUAGCCUUUAUUUAUUUAUUUAUUUAUUUAUUUAUUUUGAGAUGGAGUCUCACUCUGUUACGCAGGCUGGAGUACAGUGAUGUGAUCUCGGGUCACUGCAACCUCUGUCUCCCGGGUUCAAGUGAUUCUCCUGCCUCAGCCCCCUGAGUAGCUGGGACUAUAGGCGCACACCACCACGCCCAGCUAAUUUUUGUUAUUUUUAGUAGAGAACACUGUUUCACUGUGUUGGCCAGGCUAGUGUCAAACUCUUGACCUCAGGUUAUCCACCCGCCUUGGCCUCCCAAAGUGCUGGGAUUACAGGUGUGAGCCACUACACCCGUCCCACUGUUCUAAUUUCUAUCACCAUAGUGUACUCUAGCCUGUUCUCAAACCUCAUAUACCUAGGCUUAUAGAUUGUACUCUUGUACCUGGCUUCUCUCAUUUAAUAUAAUUAGUUUAGUUUAGUUUAGUUUGUGUGAGUGUGUGUGUGUGUGUGUGUGUGUGUGUAACUAAGGGGAAAUGCAUGUAACAUAAAAGAAAUUGUUGUAAAGUGAAAAAUUCGGUGGCAUUUAGUACAUUUGCAAUUCGGCACAACCACCACUUCUGUCUAGUUCCAAAACAUUUUCAUUACCCGCAAAGGAGUCCUCAUUCCUGUGAAGCACUCAGCAUUCUCCCCACCCCCAGCACCUGGCAACCACUAAUCUGCUGUCUGUCUAACCUUUUCUUUUUAUGGUUCAUCAGUUCUUUACUGUCUGGUAAAAUCCCACAAGCAGAGAAGGAUUAUUUUAAAAGGGCUCCAAGGAAGGAAAGCCAGGGGAACAAAAGCAGCACUAGGUAAAGUAAAAUUUGGCCAGAUGAUCAAGCCACAAAGAAGGAAAACAUUCCUAACCCCAAGAUAGAGUCUACUCUUCAUCUUGGGCAGAAGGUUCCUGUUCAAACCAGUCUUGAAGGCUGCCCUGAUGCUAUCUACGUGAGCAGUGUUUAAUUUCUGUCAACAAAGCACAAUUCAGUGGCAAUGUUGAAAGAGAAAAAGCCACACAGCUGGCUCUCUCUGCAAAUGACAUUGACAUAAAGACCAAAGUAAAUGUUAGCAUCCUGGAAACAGCAGCAGGUGUCUUAAGUGGAACAGCAGCUACUGGGGAGAACUGUGGCCACCUGCUAAGUAGCAUCUACUCAGAAUUCACUUGAAACAAUUAUAAAAGUUAUAAUUUCAGACUUCUGGAUGCAUUUGAUCAUGCAUUUUUUUGCUGUGUCUUUCUUUGCAUUGCUGGGGAUUGCUGGACAAUUUCUGAUGUUUUCUAGAGAGGUUCUUGCCCACCACCAUAUGCUUAGCACCCAGUACCUAGUGUGAUGCUUGCCACAUAGUAGGUGAACAAUAAACAUUUUUUGGGGUGAAUGAAUGAAUGAGCAAACCAUCUGGGGCACUGACUCGAAAAGUGGAAUCAUAAAAUCACUGCAGUUUAGACUUAAGAGGAGAAGGAGAAGGAAAAACAAGCUAAUAAAUGAACUCCCGGGCGGGCAAGGUGACUUACACCUGUAAUCCUAGCACUUUGUGAGGCCGAGGCAGGUGGAUCACUUGAGGCCAGGAGUUUGAGACCAGCCUGGCCAACAGGGCGAAACUCUGUCUCUACUAAAAAUACAAAAAUUAGCUGGGCAUGGUGGCAGGCGCCUGUAAUCCCAGCUACUCGGGAGGCUGAGGUGCAAGAAUCAUUUGAAUCAGGGAGGUGGAGGCUGCAGUGAGCCGAGAUUGCACCACUGCACUCCAGUCUGGGCGACAGAGCAAGACUCUGUUUCAAAACAAACAAACAAACCAAAAAACCCCAAAAAAACAAAAAACCAAGAACUCCCACAAGGGACUAUGCAAGGUGGUUUACAUGCAUGACUCCCUUUAAUCUUCACAAUUACCUUCAAAGUUAUCAUGAUGCCAGUUUUACAGAUG
rnacentral:lncRNA from 1 species